rnacentral:rRNA from 1 species
AGUGAACGCUGGCGGUAGGCCUAACACAUGCAAGUCGAACGGCAGCACAGUAAGAGUUUGCUCUUACGGGUGGCGAGUGGCGGACGGGUGAGGUAUACAUCGGAAUCUACUUUUUCGUGGGGGAUAACGUAGGGAAACUUACGCUAAUACCGCAUACGACCUACGGGUGAAAGCAGGGGAUCUUCGGACCUUGCGCGAGUGAAUGAGCCGAUGUCGGAUUAGCUAGUUGGCGGGGUAAAGGCCCACCAAGGCGACGAUCCGUAGCUGGUCUGAGAGGAUGAUCAGCCACACUGGAACUGAGACACGGUCCAGACUCCUACGGGAGGCAGCAGUGGGGAAUAUUGGACAAUGGGCGCAAGCCUGAUCCAGCCAUACCGCGUGGGUGAAGAAGGCCUUCGGGUUGUAAAGCCCUUUUGUUGGGAAAGAAAAGCAGCAGGUUAAUACCCCGCUGUUCUGACGGUACCCGAAGAAUAAGCACCGGCUAACUUCGUG